rnacentral:rRNA from 1 species
UACGUAGGGGGCUAGCGUUGUCCGGAAUCAUUGGGCGUAAAGAGCGUGUAGGCGGUCCGGUAAGUCCGUUGUGAAAGUCAAGGGCUCAACCCUUGAAUGCCGCGGAUACUGUCGGGCUAGAGUCCGGAAGAGGCGAGUGGAAUUCCCGGUGUAGCGGUGAAAUGCGUAGAGAUCGGGAGGAACAUCUGUGGCGAAGGCGGCCAUCUGGACCAGCACUGACACUGAGGCACGAAAGCGUGGGGAGCAAACAGG